UACAUAUGUAAAGAAAAAUAUGCUACAUUUUAACUUACGCUUUGGUGUCGUGAAGUUACAAAUUUCAUGAGAAAUUGUACAAAAUUUUGCGUGAACACAUUUUCCAAACGUGCCGGAUAUAAAAAUAAGUGUAUAUAACAAGAAGAUAAAAAACAAAGACGUGAACUCCGUUUCAUUUCCGGAAACACGACACUCCCCUUCUGAUUUUUAAAAAAAUCACCACAAAAAAAAUACAAAUUUUAUGCUUAUCUAGCAAUAUACAUGUACUGAACAAGAAGAUAGUAUAAAGUUGCAAAAAUAAC
rnacentral:lncRNA from 1 species